rnacentral:rRNA from 1 species
UUAUAUGGUCAAGAAGAGAAGCGCAAACGGUGGAUGCCUUGGCAGUAAGAGGCGAAGAAGGACGUGGAAUCCUGCGAAAAGCUAUGGGGAGCUGGAAACGAGCGUUGAGCCAUAGAUGUC